rnacentral:rRNA from 1 species
UAACACGGGGGGGACAAGCGUUGUUCGGAUUUACUGGGCGUAAAGCGCUCGUAGGCGGGCCCGCAAGUUGAACGUGAAAACCGAAGGCUUAACCUUCGGCCUGCAUUCAAAACUGCGAGUCUAGAGUACUGGAGAGGAUGGCGGAAUUCCUGGUGUAGCGGUGAAAUGCGUAGAUAUCAGGAGGAACACCGGUGGCGAAGGCGGCCAUCUGGACAGAUACUGACGCUGAGGGGCGAAGGCUAGGGUAGCAAACAGGAUUAGAUACCCUGGUAGUCCUAGCGGUAAACGAUGGGUACUAGGUGUUGGUGGUAUCGACCCCACCAGUGCCGCAGCUAACGCAUUAAGUACCCCGCCUGGGGAGUACGGUCGCAAGAUUG